rnacentral:rRNA from 1 species
AUUGAACGCUGGCGGCAUGCCUUACACAUGCAAGUCGAACGGUAACAGGUCUUCGGAUGCUGACGAGUGGCGAACGGGUGAGUAAUACAUCGGAACGUGCCUAGUAGUGGGGGAUAACUACUCGAAAGAGUGGCUAAUACCGCAUGAGAUCUACGGAUGAAAGCAGGGGAUCGCAAGACCUUGUGCUACUAGAGCGGCCGAUGGCAGAUUAGGUAGUUGGUGGGAUAAAAGCUUACCAAGCCGACGAUCUGUAGCUGGGCUGAGAGGACGAUCAGCCAAACUGGGACUGAGAAACGGCCCAGAACCCUACGGGAGGCAGCAGUGGGGAAUUUUGGACAAUGGGCGCAAGCCUGAGCCAGCAAUGCCGCGUGCAGGAUGAAGGCCUUCGGGUUGUAAACUGCUUUUGUACGGAACGAAAAGCCCCGGGUUAAUACCCUGGGGUCAUGACGGUACCGUAAGAAUAAGCACCGGCUAACUACGUGCCAGCCGCCGCCGUAA